GCGGCAUUAGGAUUUAAAUAUUUGACUGAUACAUAAAAUCAUUACCACAUCUCUCCAGGAAGAGUGACAUUAGGUCAAUGUGUGUACUUGCCUGGUCACCCUAAACAAAUUUGACAAGUCUAAUUUUAAGUAAUUGCUCCGAGUUUAGUGGCAGCUUCUGUCCCCACAAGGGCAGCCGUCUAGACCACAUCUUGUAAUUGAGAUGUGUCUUUAAACUAUAUGUGUCAUCCCCAAAUGCAAAUGCACUUUCAAAAAAGCCUCAGGGUUAGUGACAAGUGGGAGCGUCCUUUUUAGUCACAUUUCAAUGAGUAAACUCUGCGGUAGCUGUUGGUCCACUCAUCACCACAUUCUACACCACCCACGUGGGAAAGGGGGAAUAUUCUAGCAGGUUCUAGAAUUCAUCUAAAAACUGCUUCGCAGUGGAGCCUCUGGACCAGAACACUGGCUAGAAAUGCACCAUCCUGUGUCCUCUCUCACCCCAGCCCGCCCAUGCCCAGCUGGCAGCCUAGAAAUUCCAAAGGCAGGGACCCUCAGAAGCUUUCUGAUCCCCAUGGCAACAACCCUGGAUGCAGCACUCUCAGCCCUCCCUGGAAACCUUCUCAUCAGCCACACCCACAACCCAAAUCUAUAUCUCUGACA
rnacentral:lncRNA from 1 species